UACACUCAUCCCUGCCAUUAGCAUUCAGGACCAAUCUUUUAUAGCCUGUAAGCCACACUGGUCUAGGACAGCACCCAAAUAAUACUCAUGCUAUAAAAAAUUCUUCAAGUUAUAUAUUUUUUAAAACAUCCCUAAAAUUAUCUUUUUCCUCUACUGAGAAGAAUUUCAGGAUCCCCUGUCUCUCACUGCCUCUCUUCACACACACCUACCUUAGUUUGUCACCUAUUUCAUAAACAUGUCUUCUUGAAAAAAAUAAAGAAAUGGCAGUACAUGAAAAAUUGCUUCGUAAAUGGAAACUGUAUUAUUUAUAUUUGUAGCAUUUUUUUCCCCUUGAGGUUAAUUUCCUUUGCUUCCCAUAGCUGGAAACCAAUGAUUCAGUGCCAUUAUAUAAGCUUAUUUUUCCUCUUGGAAAUAGUAAAUUAUAAGAGGUUUCACCAAAAAAUACACAUCAAAAUUAGGCAGUAUUCAGUGUUUAGCCUCCAUCUGCCUUGUCUUCUUUAGUUGUGCAAGUAGAUGCUGAUGAUUUCUGGCAGAGCUAAAGUAAAUCAUGUGAAUUUAUUUUUUUUUCUCAUAAAACAGAUGGCAUGGUCUAGCUCUGGGCUUGUAUGUUUCAUGAAGUACAUGGGUCUGAGUGCAUAUUUAUUUUGUGAGCCAAGGUUUAUGCCUUCUUUUAUAAUGUUCUUUCACUAAAAAUGACCUGGAGAGCUAGAAACUCCAUUUUUGUCAGUGUAAGAAGCUUUAGAAUCUACAUCCAGACCAAGGCCAUGGAACAAUGUAGAUUCACUCAGUAAAAACUCACUAGCAGCCUUGUUUGUACUAGUCUGUCACCUUUGCUUGGCUUUGAGAAGCUUCAAACUAGGGCAGUUUAUGUUUGGGAAUGACUAGUCAAAUAGCAAGAAAGACAUAGGCAAGGAUGUAAUUUUUAAAAAUUUAAGUGGGGAAUGGUGGAGCAUGAAUCAAAAUAGAAGGUAGUCUUACCUUCUUGGAACUAUAAAAUAGAUACAUUUGAAAAAGGUACCCUCUCAACCUUCUGAAAGUCAGAAUUUUUGCUGCCACCCCUCAUUUUGAAUCUCUAUUCUGCAUUUUUUAUUCUUUUUUUAGGAAGGAGGAAGAAAAAUUUCUCCUGAAGAAUUCAUUGGAAAUUAAAAUUAACUUGCGCAUUUUGUAUUCUUUGGAAUGUGAUGAAGACUGAUUUGAAAGGGCAGUGCUGGAUUUGGUCAGGCAUAGGAAAGGAAGACAUGCAGUCGUCCUGCCUAGUUCAUCCCCGCCACGAUGGAGAAGCGGGGUUGCUUUCAUUGUACUUUUUUUCAUUUCUUUUCUUGCCAAGCCCAGUGGCUUCUGUUACAACAUGUGGCAACUUCUCCCUUGGAGACUGACUCAGUCCAAGUUACCAUAAUAUUUAGGACCAGCUACAAAGACGUUUCUUCCCCUAAACCCGUGCCAAAUCUAAAUCAAACUAUCUUCUCCUCCUUAGCCAUUCAAAUAGCUCCAGCUCUUCUAUAAAAAUACGAGAAAUACACAGGCCUCUUUUUGUUUUAUUCCUGUUCAAACAGAUAAACAAACAAGGCACAUCAUGCCUAGGUUGCUUUGAGCUCGAUCACUUCCUCCUAAAACAGUCUUAUACUAUGUUGAUUUUAAGAAUUGCAGCUUAGGUAUUCUAGAACAUAUUCUGAGAGCAUAUUCUAGAACAUAUUCUGAGAGCAUAGUCAUAGUCUUUGGUCUCAGAAUAUGUUUGCUUCCUUCUAGAACAUCUGAGUUCUAGAAAUUGCGUACAAUAAACUGCUGUCAAUACUGCUGGAGGAAGAGUAACUCUGACAUCACUGGCCUAUAACAGGUGUGGCUCUGAGCUUCUGGGCCUCAGAAGCCCUGACCUCUAGAGGCUGGGGGCCAGCGGGGCAGGGAGGUGAUCUCAUCGUGGAUGGCCACAGAUCAUCCACCUGCCAAACAGUUAACCCUGAACAAGUCACGUCAAUUUAUUUUGCUUUUAAAAAAGAAAGUCUGCAAAAUAGA
rnacentral:lncRNA from 1 species